UACGGUGGGGGCAAGCGUUGUUCGGAAUUACUGGGCGUAAAGGGCUCGUAGGCGGCCAACUAAGUCACACGUGAAAUCCCCAGGCUUAACCUGGGAACUGCGUGUGAUACUGGAUGGCUUGAAUCCGGGAGAGGGAUGCAGAAUUCCAGGUGUAGCGGUGAAAUGCGUAGAUAUCUGGAGGAAUACCGGUGGCGAAGGCGGCAUCCUGGACCGGCAUUGACGCUGAGGAGCGGAAGCCAGGGGAGCAAACGGG
rnacentral:rRNA from 1 species